UUGAAUUAAGUACAUAAUUAUUACUACUUACAUCUCAUAAAUAUUUAUGUAUUGUAGUAUACAAAUGUGUAAUAUGAUGAAAUCGGCUAUCUUAGUAACGGUAUCACGAGUUACGCUUGUAACGGCGGGUCGAAAGUAACAAAUGCUCUGUAAGGAUAUCCAACAGUCAAACACCGCGUCGAUGUCGUAAGUUAACAACGGGGUGGUACUCCCCUUCCUUGCGUUCAGUCGCCACGCGCGCCUCGCGCUGCUUGGUUAAGUGAGAAGACGUUUUGUGAUUUCGCACAUCAAACGAUCGUCUAAUACUGAUCGGCCUCUACAAAUAAACAGUGAAAUUCCAUCUAAUGGCGUUUUGACUAUUCUUGAUGCAACAACCCCUACCUAAGUUGAUCCAAAUACUCCAGUUGAUAAUCUUCCAGCGUCGAGUGACCAAAUUAUCGAGCAAACAGUAAACAAUGAUUUGUCAAAUAUAGUAUUAUCUAAUCAAGGAUCCAAUUCGCCUACACCAGAACCUAGCGGGUUACAGCAAGCAAAUUCCUGUCAGCCAUUUGAUUUAACACCUAAAGAUCUGAGACCCUUACCAAAAGCAGGCCCCAGGACUGCAAAAAGCAGAGGAUGUAAAAAACGUGACAGCAAUAUUGACGGACGCCCGAAAAAAACGCAAUUGAGGAAGAACAGAACCUAGAAAAAAUUAAAGCUAAGGGAAGGGUUUUACCACCUGGUACUGGAAAUGACAAGAAAAAGUUACGAAAAAAGUAAAAAAGAGUACGAAAGGCAAGGGAAAAGGAAAAAAGACAAAGAAGGGAGCUGAAGAGAAGGAAAGAAAUUCAGACAACGAAGAUUGUUAUUGUCUCGUUUGUUUAAAAUCCUUUGGCAAUAGCCGGCCAAGUGAACAGUGGGUUCAAUGUCUCUCGUGCAAAAUGUGGUCACACGCCUAUGCAUAUGUCGAUGAUGAUGCUAAUAAAAUGCUGAUUGUAAAAAUGAUUACAUAAAGUUAAAAAAAUACUGAUCUCAUUACUAGAAGAAAUAAUAAUUUGUUUUGUUAACUUAAAAUAUUUUUUUUUAGUUUUUAAGCAUUUUGAAUGCAACUUCUUUGAAUACAAAGACUUUAAGUAAAUAAUAUGUUGAUUUAGUA